rnacentral:rRNA from 1 species
CCUANGGGAGGCAGCAGUAAGGAAUAUUGGUCAAUGGACGCAAGUCUGAACCAGCCAUGCCGCGUGAAGGAUGACGGCCCUACGGGUUGUAAACUUCUUUUGUACGGGAAAAAACCUCCGGUCGUGAACCGGAGCUGAUGGUACCGUAAGAAUAAGCAUCGGCUAACUCCGUGCCAGCAGCCGCGGUAAUACGGAGGAUGCAAGCGUUAUCCGGAUUCAUUGGGUUUAAAGGGUGCGCAGGCGGAAUGAUAAGUCAGUGGUGAAAUCCUACAGCUUAACUGUAGAACUGCCAUUGAUACUGUUGUUCUUGAGUACAGUUGGAGUGGGCGGAAUGUGUCAUGUAGCGGUGAAAUGCUUAGAUAUGACACAGAACACCGGUCGCGAAGGCAGCUCGCUAAACUGUAACUGACGCUCAGGCACGAAAGCGUGGGGAUCAAACAGGAUUAGAUACCCUGNUANUC